rnacentral:rRNA from 1 species
AGCGUACACGGUGGAUGCCCUGGCAGUCAGAGGCGAUGAAGGACGUGCUAAUCUGCGAAAAGCGUCGGUAAGGUGAUAUGAACCGUUACAGCCGGCGAUGUCCGAAUGGGGAAACCCAGUGNCACUAUCGUUAACUGAAUACAUAGGUUAACGAGGCGAACCGGGGGAACUGAAACAUCUAAGUACCCCGAGGAAAAGAAAUCAACCGAGAUUCCCCCAGUAGCGGCGAGCGAACGGGGAGCAGCCCAGAGUCUGAAUCAGCUUGUGUGUUAGUGGAACGGUCUGGAAAGUCCGACGGUACAGGGUGAUAGUCCCGUACACCAAAAUGCACAGGCUGUGAACUCGAAGAGUAGGGCGGGACACGUGGUAUCCUGUCUGAAUAUGGGGGGACCAUCCUCCAAGGCUAAAUACUCCUGACUGACCGAUAGUGAACCAGUACCGUGAGGGAAAGGCGAAAAGAACCCCGGCGAGGGGAGUGAAAAAGAACCUGAAACCGUGUACGUACAAGCAGUGGGAGCACCUUCGGGUGUGACUGCGUACCUUUUGUAUAAUGGGUCAGCGACUUAUAUUCUGUAGCAAGGUUAACCGUAUAGGGGAGCCGCAGGGAAACCGAGUCUUAACUGGGCGUUAAGUUGCAGGGUAUAGACCCGAAACCCGGUGAUCUAGCCAUGGGCAGGUUGAAGGUUGGGUAACACUAACUGGAGGACCGAACCGACUAAUGUUGAAAAAUUAGCGGAUGACUUGUGGCUGGGGGUGAAAGGCCAAUCAAACCGGGAGAUAGCUGGUUCUCCCCGAAAGCUAUUUAGGUAGCGCCUCGUGAACUCAUCUUCGGGGGUAGAGCACUGUUUCGGCUAGGGGGUCAUCCCGACUUACCAACCCGAUGCAAACUACGAAUACCGAAGAAUGUUAUCACGGGAGACACACGGCGGGUGCUAACGUCCGUCGUGAAGAGGGAAACAACCCAGACCGCCAGCUAAGGUCCCAAAGUCAUGGUUAAGUGGGAAACGAUGUGGGAAGGCACAGACAGCCAGGAUGUUGGCUUAGAAGCAGCCAUCAUUUAAAGAAAGCGUAAUAGCUCACUGGUCGAGUCGGCCUGCGCGGAAGAUGUAACGGGGCUAAACCAUGCACCGAAGCUGCGGCAGCGACACUAUGUGUUGUUGGGUAGGGGAGCGUUCUGUAAGCCUGCGAAGGUGUGCUGUGAGGCAUGCUGGAGGUAUCAGAAGUGCGAAUGCUGACAUAAGUAACGAUAAAGCGGGUGAAAAGCCCGCUCGCCGGAAGACCAAGGGUUCCUGUCCAACGUUAAUCGGGGCAGGGUGAGUCGACCCCUAAGGCGAGGCCGAAAGGCGUAGUCGAUGGGAAACAGGUUAAUAUUCCUGUACUUGGUGUUACUGCGAAGGGGGGACGGAGAAGGCUAUGUUAGCCGGGCGACGGUUGUCCCGGUUUAAGCAUGUAGGCUGAUUGUCCAGGCAAAUCCGGAUAAUCAAGGCUGAGGUGUGAUGACGAGGCACUACGGUGCUGAAGUAACAAAUGCCCUGCUUCCAGGAAAAGCCUCUAAGCAUCAGGUAACAUCAAAUCGUACCCCAAACCGACACAGGUGGUCAGGUAGAGAAUACCAAGGCGCUUGAGAGAACUCGGGUGAAGGAACUAGGCAAAAUGGUGCCGUAACUUCGGGAGAAGGCACGCUGGUGUGUAGGUGAAGUCCCUGCGGAUGGAGCUGAGACCAGUCGAAGAUACCAGCUGGCUGCAACUGUUUAUUAAAAACACAGCACUGUGCAAACACGAAAGUGGACGUAUACGGUGUGACGCCUGCCCGGUGCCGGAAGGUUAAUUGAUGGGGUUAUCCGUAAGGAGAAGCUCUUGAUCGAAGCCCCGGUAAACGGCGGCCGUAACUAUAACGGUCCUAAGGUAGCGAAAUUCCUUGUCGGGUAAGUUCCGACCUGCACGAAUGGCGUAAUGAUGGCCAGGCUGUCUCCACCCGAGACUCAGUGAAAUUGAACUCGCUGUGAAGAUGCAGUGUACCCGCGGCAAGACGGAAAGACCCCGUGAACCUUUACUAUAGCUUGACACUGAACAUUGAGCCUUGAUGUGUAGGAUAGGUGGGAGGCUUUGAAGCGUGGACGCCAGUCUGCGUGGAGCCAACCUUGAAAUACCACCCUUUAAUGUUUGAUGUUCUAACGUUGGCCCCUGACCGGGGUUGCGGACAGUGUCUGGUGGGUAGUUUGACUGGGGCGGUCUCCUCCCAAAGCGUAACGGAGGAGCACGAAGGUUAGCUAAUCCUGGUCGGACAUCAGGAGGUUAGUGCAAUGGCAUAAGCUAGCUUGACUGCGAGCGUGACGGCGCGAGCAGGUGCGAAAGCAGGUCAUAGUGAUCCGGUGGUUCUGAAUGGAAGGGCCAUCGCUCAACGGAUAAAAGGUACUCCGGGGAUAACAGGCUGAUACCGCCCAAGAGUUCAUAUCGACGGCGGUGUUUGGCACCUCGAUGUCGGCUCAUCACAUCCUGGGGCUGAAGUAGGUCCCAAGGGUAUGGCUGUUCGCCAUUUAAAGUGGUACGCGAGCUGGGUUUAGAACGUCGUGAGACAGUUCGGUCCCUAUCUGCCGUGGGCGCUGGAGAAUUGAGGGGGGCUGCUCCUAGUACGAGAGGACCGGAGUGGACGCAUCACUGGUGUUCGGGUUGUCAUGCCAAUGGCACUGCCCGGUAGCUAAAUGCGGAAGAGAUAAGUGCUGAAAGCAUCUAAGCACGAAACUUGCCCCGAGAUGAGUUCU